GAUAAACUUAAAAAGAAGAAAAGGAAAGAAAGAGUGCAGAGCAACACAAGUGUUUGUCCAAGAGAGAAAGGAACAAACACAAGGUGUUCCAAGCUGAUUGGAAAGCGUAUUGCAUGUGGAAAGAAGAAUGUCAUGUUAGGGAAAGCAAGGUGAAGAGAAGGCAGUAUGAAGAUAGAGACAAAAGGUCUAAGCAGAAACAAACAGAACCAGAACAUAUAUAGACCAAAAGAUUGUUCUGACACUAAAUCUCCGUAUCCUGUUCUGUCUGAGUUACACAAGGUGGAUCCAGGCCUGGACUCUGCUCCCCCUCCUCCUCCAUAUCACAACCAAAGGCAAUACACAAGAAGAGAGACUCCAGCCAGUCGGAGGAGUCUGUGGGAGCCUUUCUUUCCCGGCUUACUGAAGCUUAUGACAUCCACAGCAGUCAUGUCCCACCUGAAGAUGGGCUGAGAGGCAACCCAUUGAGUACCUAUGAAGCCCACCUGAAGGAUGCCUUUUUUAAGCAGGCUGAAACCUGAGGUCACAAGAAACUGCUCUGUGAAUAAAGAGAGAGUGGACUGACUUGGAGAGGGGGUGGAGCAGAUGCCGGGUCAGGUGACACCUACACAGGAACAAACGCCAGACCAGGUAACUCCAAUCCACACAUCUAUACAUAGGAAGAUAGAACCAAAGCAUGACUUGCUCCUUUUUCCAUGAUACUGUGAUUCUGACAAAUAUAAGAUAUUCCCAGAACUUUGUCUUUCUAUUGAUAAACAUGAAGUGACCUUUCUGGAUUUAAAGGCAGCACUCACCGUAGCUCCCACACUGGGUCUGCCUAAUCCUAACUUAACCUUUACUCAGUUUGUCGACCAGAAGGACAGUUACAUGACUUCUGUGUUGUGCCAACCUCACAGCAGAAAACUACGACCUGUUGCUUAUUUCUCAUCAAAGCUGGAUCCAGUAGCAACAGGGCUUCCUCUCUGAGAGCCGUCGCUGCAGCAGAGAAAGCCGUUCUAGCAUCACGCGAUUUUGUUUUGUUUGCGAUUUUGAUUUAACAUUGAUGGUUCCACACGCCAUUGCACACAUACUACACACACAGCGUUGGUUAACCCUCUGGGGUCUGAGGGGGUUUUUGG
rnacentral:lncRNA from 1 species